GCUGGUGUGGCUCAGUGAAUAGAGCGUUGGUCUGCGGACUGAAGGGUCCAGGUUUAAUUCCUGUCAAGAGCA
rfam:Myotis davidii contig43454, whole genome shotgun sequence.